rnacentral:rRNA from 1 species
CUCAGGAUGAACGCUAGCUACAGGCUUAACACAUGCAAGUCGAGGGGAAACGAUAGAGAAAGCUUGCUUUUUCUAGGCGUCGACCGGCGCACGGGUGAGUAACGCGUAUCCAACCUGCCCACCACUUGGGAAUAACCUUGCGAAAGUAAGACUAAUACCCAAUGAUAUCUCUAGAAGACAUCUGAAGGAGAUUAAAGAUUUAUCGGUGAUGGAUGGGGAUGCGUCUGAUUAGCUUGUUGGCGGGGUAACGGCCCACCAAGGCGACGAUCAGUAGGGGUUCUGAGAGGAAGGUCCCCCACAUUGGAACUGAGACACGGUCCAAACUCCUACGG